CGGACGGGUGAGUAAUGCUUGGGAAUCUGGCUUAUGGAGGGGGAUAACUACGGGAAACUGUAGCUAAUACCGCGUAGUAUCGGAAGAUGAAAGUGUGGGACCGCAAGGCCACAUGCCAUAAGAUGAGCCCAAGUGGGAUUAGGUAGUUGGUUGGGUAAAGGCUGACCAAGCCGACGAUCUCUAGCUGGUCUGAGAGGAUGACCAGCCACACUGGAACUGAGACACGGUCCAGACUCCUACGGGAGGCAGCAGUGGGGAAUAUUGCACAAUGGGGGGAACCCUGAUGCAGCCAUGCCGCGUGAAUGAAGAAGGCCUUCGGGUUGUAAAGUUCUUUCGGUGAUGAGGAAGGUGCUUGUUUUAAUAGAACAAGCAAUUGACGUUAGUCACAGAAGAAGCACCGGCUAACUCCGUGCCAGCAGCCGCGGUAAUACGGAGGGUGCGAGCGUUAAUCGGAAUAACUGGGCGUAAAGGGCACGCAGGCGGUGACUUAAGUGAGAUGUGAAAGCCCCGAGCUUAACUUGGGAAUUGCAUUUCAUACUGGGUCGCUAGAGUACUUUAGGGAGGGGUAGAAUUCCACGUGUAGCGGUGAAAUGCGUAUAGAUGUGGAGGAAUACCGAAGGCGAAGGCCGCCCCUUGGGAAUGUACU
rnacentral:rRNA from 1 species